rnacentral:misc_RNA from 1 species
AUGCGAUAGGCUCGCGCAUGUUCCCUCGCAGGCAUGGCGCGUACUACGGAAAACUACGAAAAUAAGUAACUGCCGUAGCCUGUGGUUGCUGUGCUCGGCAACCGAAACCGGCAGGUCAUUGCGGGUUGGUAAAAUUCGAGCGAAGUGCCCGCGCACUUAACGGGACGACAGAGCUAGCGGCUCAAUCGAGCGAUUGCUUUCCUUGGCAAGCGCAGUGAAUGCGAGACUUCGGCGCUUGCCGAUUUCCAGCGUCAUGGCAACUGUUGCAUGCGCGCAGGCUUUACUCUACGCCGAGUACGCGUGAGCAAAGCCAAGCGUAAGGAAGCCGGGGUUGUGCACGGACGUAAAUGUGACGUCCGCAAUGAAGCGAGUGUGCGAGAAGCCCUGGCCUGGGCCGAAGAUCAGGUCGGUCCUGUGCACUACCUCGUGACCGCAGCUGGCGUUGGCCUUGACCGGCUGCUCGCCCAGACAAGCGAGGCCGAGAUGCGACACCUGUUUGACACCAACGUCAUUGGCACGCUGUUCUGCACCAAAGCUGCCCUGAAGGCUGGCAUGCUGCGCCGCCGACAGGGUUCCUAUUGUCAAUGUGGGCAGUGUUGUUGGUGAACGAGGCAAUGUUGGCCAAACUGUCUACUCUGCCAGCAAGGCUGCCAUGGUGGGCCUGACCCGCUCUCUUGCCAAAGAGGUUGCCUCUCGCAACAUCAGGGUCAACAUGAUUCAGCCCGGUUUCAUAGACACUGGCAUGACUCGCGCGGAACACUUGCAAGCAGUGGUGGGCCGCAUCCCCUUGCAGCGGCCGGGCCGCCCCGAGGAAGUGGCGCGUGCGGUGCAUUUUUUGGCAAGCAGCAGCUAUGUAACAGGGCAGGUGCUGCCCGUCGACGGUGGCCUCAGAUUGGCUAUGUGAAAAGCCCGAGCGCAAGAACCGCUCAGGCACAUGGGGAGGUGCCCGUGCGCACGAGGGCCGCCCAGGACAGGCCGUUGGACAGCACCAGGGGAAGCAAGAGUUCGGCCCCUUCCCAGGGCCAGGGCUUGCCGAGGUUCGAGCAGCAGUGCGCCGCCUGGCAUGGCCCGGUUGCCCAAACGGCUGUGAAAAACACGCGAGGCAACAAUGCAUUUUGGAGUCACUCACCCGAAUUUCCAAGAACAGUGUAUGCAGUAGCGUGCAGAUGCAGUUGUCUUACAUGACUGUUGUCUCAAAUCUUGUCUCAAAUCGUUCAGGCACAUUGCCAGACUCCCUGCAGUAUUUACUAAAGCAAAAUGUGAUUGAAGAAAUGUGCUAUAUAUAAGCAACCUAAACCUGGUAGUAAUACGUAGUAUGAUGCAUUAGUUGCUUAUGGUCACAUAAUCAGGAACCACCGUAGCAUAGCCCAGUCGCCCACGCAGCUGCAAAAAGACACGAACCAACAGAUGAGGCAACAACACACUUUGGAGUCACACACCAAGCUUUUACAAGUAGAACAGCAUAUAGAUAUGUACAUGGGCUGACCUUGACAGUUAAGUAGGCCGGUUAGAAUGUUUGUGUAAGGUCAAUACAUACUAUCGCCGUUAGUAGCUUGAUGAAACAGCAUGACAGAAAAGGAAAGGCGAGCACAGGCGGAAUUUGGUGUGGCUAAUUGUGCCUGUGUUUGUCAUUUCCUUUCUGUUUUCCUGUGUCGUUGCACUGCUUACGGUGACAUUAGACAGGGGUUUGUAGUAUGGAGAAGUACUAUUUAACCAAUGUUGACGUCGAGUGUUUCAGCUAACUGGCACCUAGUGUUACAAAAACAUGCAUGCCUUGCGUGUGUGUCCUAUCGGUUCAGUACUGUUCUGGGCGAUACCCAGAGUGCCAGAAUAUUUUUUCCAAUCUUCCAGUUGGUUAUUUAUGAAGAUUGCAUAAUAACAUUUUAACUAAUAAACUCAGGGGGAGUUCUUUAGUGCAAUAAUUGUACUACUCGUUCUAAAACAGUAUUUCACUCAUGCUUAGGUAAUUGCCAAUCUUAUUAACUGUUUGAACAACAAAUACUGCCUAAUUAAGCUUUUAAAUAGUAGUUCUAAUAAAAAAUAUUCAACAGAAAAGUUGUAAAGUUUCUUUAGAAGUAUUGGAUGAUCUGCACUAAAAUAACCAGCAGAUAGUUUUUUUUUUUUUUCAGCUUUAUUUUAGAGUGCCCUUGAUUGAAAAGUAUACUGGGUGCAAGUUAGCUGUAACACCUCGUGUAGUUGGUAGCAUUUACAUGAUCAAAAAUAUGUUGAAAAUGUACUAUGAACAAGCUGACUAUGGUAGCUAUAGUUAUGUUAUGACAUAUUGGUAGUUUAUGGUCACAUACUCAUAAAAUGGACUCAACUUUCCUGAAAGGAUAGCAUGUGCAGCAGUGUGCACAUGGAAGUGUCACGUGACUUGUGCCUCAUAUCAUUCAGGUACAUUGUUAGACCUACAGGGUUGAGUAAACAGGGAGUUUGCAUUACUAUUUACACAAAGAAAGAUGUUAUAGUGAAUUGUCUUAUGUAUUAGUAGUAUAAAUAUGGUAGCUGUAGCAUGACAUAGCUGUUUACAAUUACAUACGCACAAAACACGUGGUUGAAACAGUACUUGUCAUGCCGUUUGUUUCAGGUCAUGUAGAACACAAGAUAAGGAAGAUACAAAGGUUCACAUGUUUACUGCACGGAAAGAAAAAAAAAAUGGAAAUGUGUUUCGUGAAGGCAGUGCAAUACAAUGCUUCAAGAAGAGACCUCUCUCCUUUCUGUAAAUAAACUUACCUCCUCCUCCUACUCGUAGAACGAAUAAAUGAGGUUUCAGAGUGAUUUAAUAUAUUGCAAAGUGGGGAAUUUCAUUGAGAUGUAUGUAUUUGGGAGCAGUGAAUACCUAAAGAGUUUAUUUGGGUUUCUGAUUUUCUCUUGCUUUGUGGUUGUGGUUGUACCGAUACAUGCCGACACUGAUAAAUUUAUGCAGAAACCUCCGGCUGUCUGAAGACCACCGUGUGCUAUACAAGAUAUCAAGGAGAGGGGACGGUAGUCCUCAUAGGGUGUACCGACACAAAAAUAUUUAGUUCUUCAUUUUUCACAUAAAGUAAAAGGCCAUGCCUUCAAAAGAUUAGAAAAUGCACUGGUAAGCAUGAAUGCGCCAUAAAAAUAUAGUUGUAUCUUUGAAAGCUAGUUUUGGUUUCUACUGUAGUCCGACGUCGCGAUACAGUACGAGCUCUUUAUCGCGGGGUUGCACAAUGUGUGACGUUACCAUGGCCGCUCUGCUCCACGACUCUGUUAUUGUGCAAAAGCAGUUAUUGUGAACGUUUUUACGGAUACGCAAGCGGACGUUUUAAACGUUUCGCCCCUGAUGUUAUCACGACUAGCCAUACUGAUGAAGGCAUCAGGAUAGCCUGACGUCACGAUAGUGGCGAUGUACAUGAAGUGCAUCGUGCAAAAAAAAAGGCUUUAAUGUCAAAAUGAAACAUCUUAGUGUUUUUUUGAGCUUCUUAUUUGCACAGAGCCACCGCUGUGUAUAAGGUAUCGGUAUUGCAGGGUAAACUUGGCCUCAGAAAAUUCGUGUUAGUACCCCUUGAAACAUGUAAUAAAGGUCACAUUGUUCAUCAAAUCAUGAGAUGCGGCAUUCUUGUACUCUGUUCUCUGGUACCGGAGCUCCAUUUUUCAAACUUCAGUUUGAUCUCAUUCCUGGCUGUUGAAAUAAAAUGUUGUGGUUGAAUGUGGUUAAA